UACAGAGAGUGCAAGCGUUAAUCGGAAUUACUGGGCGUAAAGCGCGCGUAGGCCGUCGAGUAAGUCGGAUGUGAAAUCCCCGGGCUUAACCUGGGAAUUGCAUUCGAUACUGCUUGGCUAGAGUGUGGAAGAGGGAAGCGGAAUUUCCGGUGUAGCGGUGAAAUGCGUAGAUAUCGGAAGGAACACCAGUGGCGAAGGUGGCUUCCUGGUCCAACACUGACGCUGAGGCGCGAAAGCGUGGGGAGCGAACAGG
rnacentral:rRNA from 1 species